ensembl:lncRNA
CCAUUUUCCCAAAAAAACACCCAUUUAUCCUCAAAAAACACCUCUUCCCCCCCAAAAAAACCUGACAUCCUCCUCCAGAAUUCCAUCUUUUCCAAAAUAAAAAUUAUUUUUCCCCCCAAAAAAAAACCCUCUUGAGCUCCAGACCCUCCUGUUUUACCCCAUUCCUGCUGGUUUUUUCCAAUUUUCCCCAUUUUUUCCCAUUUUCCCCAUUUUUCCCCAUUUUCCUGCUGGUUUUUUUUCCAUUUUCCUGCCUUUUUUCCUCAAUUCUCCCAUUUUUUAUUUCAUUUUUCUGUUUUUUCCUAAUAUUUUUCCUAUUCUCCUGCUGUUUUCUCCAAUUAUCUUCCAUUUUUUAUUAUUUUCCCUGCUUUCCCCAUUUUUUCUUUUCCCAUUUUCCUGCAAUUUUCCCCAUUUUCCUGCAAUUUUUCCCCAUUUUCCUGCAAUUUUCCUCCAUUUUUCUGCAAUUUUCCCCAUUUUCCUGCCAUUUUUCCCCAUUUUCCUGCAAUUUUUCCCCAUUUUCCUGCUCUUUUUCCCCAUUUUCCUGCUGUUUUUCCCCAUUUUCCUGCAAUUUUCCCCCAUUUUCCUGCAAUUUUCCCCCAUUUUCCUGCAAUUUUCCCCAUUUUCCUGCAAUUUUCCCCCAUUUUCCUGCAAUUUUCCCCGUUUUCCUGCUGUUUUUCCCCAUUUUCCUGCUGUUUUUCCCCAUUUUCUGCAAUUUCACCCAUUUUCCUGCAAUUUUUCCCCAUUUUCCUGCAAUUUUCCUGCAUUUUUCUUAAAUUUCCCCCAUUUUCCUGCUGUUUUUCCCCAUUUUCCUGCAAUUUUUUCCCAUUUUCCUGCAAUUUCCCCCAUUUCUCUGCUCUUUUUCCCCAUUUUCCUGCAAUUUUCCCCAUUUUCCUGCAAUUUUCCCCAUUUUCCUGCAAUUUUUUCCCAUUUUCCUGCUGUUUUUCCCAAUUUCCCGCUGUUUUUCCCCAUUUUCCUGCAAUAUUUCCCCAUUUUCCUGCUGUUUUUCCCAUUUUCCUGCAAUUUUUCCCAUUUUCCUGCAAUUUUCCCCAUUUUCCUGCAAUUUUUCCCCAUUUUCCUGCAAUUUUCCUCCAUUUUUCUGCAAUUUUCCCCAUUUUCCUGCCAUUUUUCCCCAUUUUCCUGCAAUUUUUCCCCAUUUUCCUGCUCUUUUUCCCCAUUUUCCUGCUGUUUUUCCCCAUUUUCUGCAAUUUCACCCAUUUUCCUGCAAUUUUCCCCCAUUUUCCUACAAUUUUCCCCCAUUUUCUGCAAUUUCCCCCAUUUUUCUGCAUUUUUUCCCCAUUUUCCUGCAAUUUUCCCCAUUUUCCUGCAAUUUCCCCCAUUUUCCUGCUGUUUUUCCCCAUUUUCCUGCUGUUUUUCCCCAUUUUCCUGCAAUUUUCCUCCAUUUUCUUGCAAUUUUUCCCCAUUUUCCUGCAAUUUUCCCCCAUUUUCUUCAAUUUCCCCCAUUUUUCUGCAAUUUUCCCCAUUUUCCUGCCAUUUUCCCCCAAUUUCCUGCAAUUUUUCCCCAUUUUCUGCAAUUUUCCCCAAUUUUUCUGCAAUUUUCCCCAUUUUCCUGCAAUUUUUCCCCAUUUUCCUGCAAUUUUUCCCCAUUUUCCUGCUGUUUUUCCCCAUUUUCUGCAAUUUCACCCAUUUUCCUGCAAUUUUCCCCCAUUUUCCUGCAAUUUUCCCCCAUUUCCUGCAAUUUCCCCCAUUUUCCUGCUGUUUUUCCACAUUUUCCUGCUCUUUUCCACGUUUUCCUGCUGUUUUUCCCCAUUUUCCUGCUUUUUCCUCCUGUUUUUCCCAUUUUCCUGCCGUUUUUCCCCAUUUUCCUGCCAUUUUUCCCCAUUUUCCUGCUGUUUUUCCCCAUUUUCCUGCAAUUUCCCCCCAUUUUCCUGCUGUUUUUUCCAUUUUCCUGCAAUUUUUCCCCAUUUUCCUUCAAUUUUCCCUCAUUUUUCUUCAAUUUCCCUAAUUUUCCUGCAAUUUUCCCCAUUUUCCUGCUCUUUUUCCCCAUUUUCCUGCUGUUUUUCCCCAUUUUCCUGCUGUUUUUCCCCAUUUUCCUGCUGUUUUCCCCAUUUUCCUGCAAUUUUUCCCCAUUUUCCUGCAAUUUUCCCUCAUUUUUCUUCAAUUUCCCCCAUUUUCCUGCAAUUUUCCCCAUUUUCCUGCUCUUUUACCCCAUUUUCCUGCAAUUUUCCCCAUUUUCCUGCAAUUUUCCCUCAUUUUUCUUCAAUUUCCCCCAUUUUCCUGCUGUUUUUCCCCAUUUUCCUGCAAUUUUUCCCCAUUUUCCUGCAAUUUCCCCCAUUUUCCUACUGUUUUUCCCCAUUUUCUGCAAUUUCACCCAUUUUCCUGCAAUUUUCCCCAAUUUUCCUGCAAUUUUCCCCAUUUUCCUGCAAUUUCCCCCAUUUUCCUGCUGUUUUUCCCCAUUUUCUGCAAUUUUCCCCCAUUUCCCUGCUGUUUUUCCCCAUUUUCCUGCUCUUUUUCCCAUUUUCCUGCAAUUUUCCCCCUUUUUCCUCCUGUUUUUCCCAUUUUCCCGCUGUUUUACCCCAUUUCCCCCCCGUUUUUUUUCCAUUUCCCCGCUGUUUUUCCCCAAAACCCCCCCAAUUUUUCUUCCUUUCCUGUUUUUUGUCCCGAUUUCCCCAUCUUUGUCCCCGUUCCAGAGCUGCUGGCCUCCUACA